UACGUAGGGCGCAAGCGUUGUCCGGAAUUAUUGGGCGUAAAGAGCUCGUAGGCGGUUUGUCGCGUCUGUCGUGAAAGCUUGGGGCUUAACCCCAAGUCUGCGGUGGAUACGGGCAGACUAGAGGCAGGUAGGGGAGAACGGAAUUCCCGGUGUAGCGGUGAAAUGCGCAGAGAUCGGGAAGAACACCGGUGGCGAAGGCGGGUCUCUGGGCAAUUCCUGACGCUGAGGCGCGAAAGCGUGGGGAGCAAACGGG
rnacentral:rRNA from 1 species